ensembl:lncRNA
AAAGGCAUGGAGCAUCUUCGGAUAAGAGAAGAUUGCUCUGGAUAACAUGACUUUUUCCCAGGCUGCUGGAAUUUAGACUCAUCCCUUAAGUAUGUACCAGAUAAAUAUAGGGAAUAGGUAUCUCUGCCCUCUUUCUAUGCUUUGAAGCCUCCACAGUCAAAGGUUCCUAGAAGAGAACGUGUCAAGAUAGUAUCUACUCUAAACCCAGUGACUUGUUCCAGUGGCUGUUGUAUCCAAGUGCAGACGUCAUUGCUCAUGAGCAUGUUGGUCCUCAGUGUAGAAGAACCUAGAAGAACUGCAUAAUGGAGUAGUCCAAUCAAUACUGAUAAACACAGAAUUUCUUUGAAGAUCUGUAUUCCACGAGAAAAAAGAUGAGUACAUCUGUUUUCAUGAGGACAAAAAAGAAAUGGUACUAGUCAUAAUAUUCUUGUCAUUCAUGCCCCUGGCCAGCUACAAAAGGAGCAGUAACUGUGCAGAGAAAAAAACACUUCUAUUGAACAAAGAAGCAUUCAGUUACACACUUUUCAAAUACAGCCAUACCACAAACCUGUAGCCGAGAGAAGUUAUCUCCAGAUGAACACAGGCUAAGGCUGAGGAGAUGAAAAUCGUUGGGCCUGACAUGAGCAGGCUGUAAGGCAUGGCCAUCACAAACAGCUUGCCAAGUCUUCUGAGCUGUGCUUCCAGUGCAGCACAACUGGGAAGGUCAGCUGUGAGCAACAGAAAAAAUGUACCAAGUCCAGAAAGGUGAAGGAGGUGCGUACUGUCUGACGUUGGGCUGUCCUGAACUCAUCCAGCAAAACAUUUGAAAGUGCUUCCACAUCAAAAAAAGCCCCGUAGAACUGCCAGGAUGGCUGGUAGAUAAACCGAGUGGCUUAUGGAUGGAAAUGAGCCUGCUGCAGCCAACGGGACUCAACCCGAUGGGAGCAUACAGACAUAAAAGUUUCUCAGAGACAUGUUUGAACAACCACAUUAAAUCGGUUGCCCAGUAGGCUUUCUUUCAUAUGUCUGGAGAGCAGCAAGUGUAGUAAUUGUAUCUAGGGAAGGAAAAGUGGCAGCUACAAGAGCAGUAUAACAUGAAAAGGGAGAUAAGCUUUAAAACACUUAAAAAUAUUUUUAUUUUAUUUUAGUAAAAGAGAAUGAAAGUGUGGACUAAGCAGAUAAUACUAGGAAAUCAAACACGAGUCUGCUGCAGUUAACUAUGUUGGAAAAUCUCUUACCCUUGUUUGAUAAGAGCUGAUCUCUCAGGCAAUGAGAGUGCCAUAUAUACUUCAAAUAGCACAAAACAUUUGGUGUAUGACCCUCUAAAAAUAUUAGUUAGGCAGAGGAAAAGAGAAGGUGGGGAUUGGUAUAAGCAGUGUAGAGAACAUGCCAACUUCAGGAAAUUCUGUUUGGAGUAGAGAUAAAUAUCAGAGGGAUUCACAGGAAUCAGUCUUCAGACUGAUCUUACUUAGCAAUAACCAUGCA